UCCCUGGUGGUCUAGUGGUUAAGACUCCGUGCUUGCAAUGCAGAGGGCUUGGGUUCGAUCCCCGAUUGGGGAA